GACGAACGCUGGCGGCGUGCUUAACACAUGCAAGUCGAACGGAAAGGCCCUGCUUUUGUGGGGUGCUCGAGUGGCGAACGGGUGAGUAACACGUGAGUAACCUGCCCUUGACUUUGGGAUAACUUCAGGAAACUGGGGCUAAUACCGGAUAGGAGCUCCUGCUGCAUGGUGGGGGUUGGAAAGUUUCGGCCGUUGGGGAUGGACUCGCGGCUUAUGAGCUUGUUGGUGGGGUAGUGGCUUACCAAGGCUUUGACGGGUAGCCGGCAUGGGAGGGUGACCGGCGACAUUGGGACUGAGAUACGGCCCAGACUCCUACGGGAGGCAGCAGUGGGGAAUAUUGCACAAUGGGCGGAAGCCUGAUGCAGCAACGCCGCGUGCGGGAUGACGGCCUUCGGGUUGUAAACAGCUUUCGCCUGUGACGAAGCGUGAGUGACGGUAAUGGGUAAAGAAGCACCGGCUAACUACGUG
rnacentral:rRNA from 1 species